rnacentral:lncRNA from 1 species
GCUUUCUGCGCUUCCUAGUGGCAAAAUAUAAUAAUUUCUCUCUCCAUUGUCAUGUGACCCGGUCACGUGACAUCUACAGGAAGUAGUGCUUUCCAGCCUCACGUCUGUCAACAAUCCGUUCCUGGUCUCAUCUUUGGUCCUGCGGUCGCAUCGUCUGGAUACAGCACCUUUGUGCUGAGCUGCAGUGUAGGGACAGUAACAAAAAGGGAAUGAAGGAUCUCUUCAAGGCCAUGGGGACAGGAGGAACAAUUGCAGCAGCUGAUAACUGUUUCAAAAUACAUAUGGGCAUAACAAAACCAGCGACCCUCUCCCCCUCCCCUCUUCGAUCCUGA